GAAGGUAUAGCUCAAGUGGUAGAGCACAUGCUUAGCAUGCAUGAGGUCCUGGGUUCAAUCCUUGGUACCUCCU
rnacentral:tRNA from 1 species